rnacentral:rRNA from 1 species
UACGUAGGUGGCAAGCGUUGUCCGGAUUUACUGGGCGUAAGAGCGCGCAGGCGGUCGUUCAAGUCGCGUGUGAAAGCCCCCGGCUCAACUGGGGAGGGUCACGCGAUACUGCUCGACUUGAAGGCAGGAGAGGGAAGCAGAAUUCCCGGUGUAGUGGUGAAAUGCGUAGAUAGUCGGGAGGAAUACCAGUGGCGAAGGCGGCUUCCUGGCCUGUUCUUGACGCUGAGGCGCGAAAGCUAGGGUAGCAAACGGG